GCCCCUCAACCAUCAGGUUCGGCAGCCGGCGGCGCCGCCUGGCAGCUCCUCCUCUUCUCCGCCCCGCUGGCCGCGGGCGCGGGGGACGUCAGCGCUGCCAGCGUGGAAAGAGCUGCGGGGCGCGGGAGGAGGAAGUAGAGCCCGGGACCGCCGGGCCACCACCGGCCGCCUCAGCCAUGGACGCGUCCCUGGAGAAGAUAGCAGACCCCACGUUAGCUGAAAUGGGAAAAAACUUGAAGGAGGCAGUGAAGAUGCUGGAGGACAGUCAGAGAAGAACAGAAGAGGAAAAUGGAAAGAAGCUCAUAUCCAGAGAUAUUCCAGGCCCACUCCAGGGCAGUGGACAAGAUAUGGUGAGCAUCCUCCAGUUAGUUCAGAAUCUGAUGCAUGGAGAUGAAGAUGAGGAGCCCCAGAGCCCCAGAAUCCAAAAUAUUGGAGAACAAGGUCAUGUGGCUGUGUUGGGACAUAGUCUGGGAGCUUAUAUUUUGACUCUGGACGAAGAGAAGCUGAGAAAACUUACAACUAGGAUACUUUCAGAUACCACCUUAUGGCUAUGCAGAAUUUUCAGAUAUGAAAAUGGGUGUGCUUAUUUCCACGAAGAGGAAAGAGAAGGACUUGCAAAGAUAUGUAGGCUUGCCAUUCAUUCUCAAUAUGAAGACUUCGUAGUGGAUGGCUUCAGUGGGUUAUAUAACAAGAAGCCUGUCAUAUAUCUUAGUGCUGCUGCUAGACCUGGCCUGGGCCAAUACCUUUGUAAUCAGCUCGGCUUGCCCUUCCCCUGCUUGUGCCGUGUACCCUGUAACACUAUGUUUGGAUCCCAGCAUCAGAUGGAUGUUGCCUUCCUGGAGAAACUGAUUAAAGAUGAUAUAGAGCGAGGAAGACUGCCCCUGUUGCUUGUCGCAAAUGCAGGAACGGCAGCAGUAGGACACACAGACAAGAUUGGGAGAUUGAAAGAACUCUGUGAGCAGUAUGGCAUAUGGCUUCAUGUGGAGGGUGUGAAUCUGGCAACAUUGGCUCUGGGUUAUGUCUCCUCAUCAGUGCUGGCUGCAGCCAAAUGUGAUAGCAUGACGAUGACUCCUGGCCCGUGGCUGGGUUUGCCAGCUGUUCCUGCGGUGACACUGUAUAAACACGACCCUGCCUUGACUUUAGUUGCUGGUCUUAUAUCAAAUAAGCCCACAGACAAACUCCGUGCCCUGCCUCUGUGGUUAUCUUUACAAUACUUGGGACUUGAUGGGUUUGUGGAGAGGAUCAAGCAUGCCUGUCAACUGAGUCAAUGGUUGCAGGAAAGUUUGAAGAAAGUGAAUUACAUCAAAAUCUUGGUGGAAGAUGAGCUCAGCUCCCCAGUGGUGGUGUUCAGAUUUUUCCAAGAAUUACCAGGCUCAGAUCCAGUGUUUAAAGCCGUCCCAGUGCCCAACAUGACACCUUCAGCAGUCGGCCGGGAGAGGCACUCGUGUGAUGCGCUGAAUCUCUGGCUGGGAGAACAGCUGAAGCAGCUGGUGCCUGCGAGCGGCCUCACAGUCAUGGAUCUGGAAGCUGAGGGCACGUGUUUGCGGUUCAGCCCUUUGAUGACCGCAGCAGGUAUGAUCUCGUGAAACCUUGAGAGAAACUGAAUGAGGAAUGAAACUAUUGUUCCUGUUUCACACAGAAGAAAACUGAGGUUGGCACUCAUGAUGAGCCCCUGUUCUCAUUCUGCAAAUGGUGAAGCUCUCUAUCGUCCUGACCCCACAGUUCCUGUCCCAUGACCAGGGCCCGCUCACCAAGGAGCUGCAGCAGCACGUAAAGUCAGUGACAUGCCCAUGCGAGUACCUGAGGAAGGUUGAUGGACGGAUGGCUACAUGGAUGUGAUGGAGAUGGUUUACUAUCGGGACCUUCCGCAUCCUGCUGAUGUUUUGUUGCUUAGGAUAUGAAUGGCUGAGCGGAGGCUGUAAAACCUGGCACUCUGCUUGGGUAUGAGGUUCUUCCUGCCAUCCUGCCAUCAUUUGUUUUUUAUGUUUUGUCGCCAAAGGUGACCUUGAGGAACCCUGGGAGCUCAGGAAGGAAGGAGCGCCCAGAAGCAGGGACAGGGAGCUGGUUGGGGAGGACCAGAAAUCAGGUUAUCAAUACUCUGGCUGACCAUCGUCAUCGUGAGACUGACUUUGGUGGAAGUCCUUGGAUAAUUAUCAUUAUUGUGUUUCUGGGACGUUACAAAUUUACCAUUCUCUUCUGCACAAUUUACCUUUGUGUGCCUUUCCUGAAGACUAUCUUCUGGUCUCGAAAUGGACAUGAUAGAUCCAGGGAUGUACAGCAGAGAGCUAGGAGGUCCAACCGCCGUAGACAGGAAGGGCUGAGGUCCAUUUGUAUGCACACAAAGAAAAGAGUUUCUUCCUUUCCAGGAAUUAAAAUUGGCCUGGAAGACAUCUGUACUUUAUGGAAACAGGCGGAAACAAAAGUUCAAGCUAAAAUCCGUAAGAUGAAGGUCACAAAGAAAGUCAACCAUCAUUACAAAAUCAAUGGAAAGAGGAAGACCGCCAAAGAACAGAAAAUGUUUCAACGUGCGCAAGAGUUGCGGUGGCGGGCAGAGGACUACCACAAAUGCAAAAUCACCCCCUCUGCAAGAAAGCCUCUUUGCAACUGGCUCUGUGCUCAAGCCCUGCAGAGGGAGAUGGCAGAGAGGAAGGCUGCCUACAAGCAUCACAGUCCCAUCCCUGUUGGUAACCGUGUUGUGCAAAAACACCUUCAUCCCCACCCAGUGGGGCCCCUGAUCUAAUAUUCAAAGUGUCAGAGGUUCCAUAUUUGUAAUAGCAAAUGGGCCCUGACUGUAAAUUAGUGAAGAGUGAAUGUAACUUAUUACCCACAGGGACAAUUCCAAAUGAAGGCCUUAAAUGAUGCUCAGCUAAGCUGGUUCUUGUGUGGCCUCUGUACCUUCAAAAGCUGCCGAGUCCUAUGAUUACACGUGAUGGGACUUGUACACUUGAAGUGAAACAGUUUUAAAACUUGCUUUGUUUAGAAUUCCCACCUCAUUUUUCCAUGGACAAAAGUAUUCUUUAUGUCCUAGUGCACUUACAAUUUGGUAUUACCUGGGAGUGAAAAGAAAUAUUACAGCCAUGCCUAACUGACUUCUUGAGGUAAGAUUGUUCUGUCAGAAAACCCUCUCCCAGUUCCCCUGCAGCUCUUCAGGAAUCCACAUCUCUGCAGAGCUCUUUGUUCUCAUGGGUGGCACCUCCAGAGUGAAGAAGAUCCUUUAUCAAGAAGGGAAACAGGGGAAAUGAGAGGGUCCUGCAGGCAGAGCUGGAAUCAACUUCCACUCUGCCUCUUGCAAGCUGUGUGACCCCGGGCACAAUUUCUCCUUCCUCUGGAAACCUCUGUUUUCUUAGAUUUGGAGCAGGGUGGUCACACUGACCUUGCAGAGUUCCGAGAAUCAGAGACAGAACAUAAAAGGCCUGGAAAACAUUCUCCAAAAAGAAGCUGCAACAUGUGUGGACAAUGGGCUUUUCAUGCCUCUCUUACUGUCUGUUGACCUGGUGCAAGAAACAUGCUCUGGUGAUGGCUGUGAGGGAGGAAUGAGGAUAGACAUAGACACUCCUGUGUCUCAAACAUGCCUCUUUAUUACUCUGUUAUGACUCUGUCUUCCCUGGGGCAGGACCCCAGCCUGCCUACAUUUGCAGACAGACACAGUGGCAUGUGGAGACAACAGUGUGUCCCAAUGACUUUUCUUUACUCCCCAGCUGUCGGCAGUACUCAGUGGAAGGGUGAUAUUAUGACACUGAUACUGCUAUUUUGAAACCUGGAGGAUGGAAAGGUGCAAAAAUCUAUCACCAGCAACAGAAGGUGCAGACCGUGUUGGUGGCGGUAAUUUUGUCCAUCAAAUGAAUAUGUGUGAAAACAUUCCCUUCUUCGGCCCUACAGGUCAGAAUGGCGGCAGCGGAGCAUCGUCAUUCUUCAGGAUUGCCCUACUGGCCCUACCUCACAGCUGAAACUUUAAAAAACAGGAUGGGCCGCCAGCCACCUCCUCCAACUCAACAACAUUCUAUAACUGAUAACUCCCUGAGCCUCAAGACACCUCCCGAAUGUCUUCUUAUUCCCCUUCCACCCUCUCCUCUUCCACCCUCCGUGGAUGAUAAUCUCAAGACUCCUCCCUUAGCUACUCAGGAGGCCGAGGCAGAAAAAUCACUGAAACCCAAGAGGCAGAGGUUGAGUAAGCUGAGAACAGGUCAUUGCACUCAAGCCUGGGCAAUAAGAAGAAAUCUGUGAGUGGAACAAAAGAAAAAAAUCAAAAAACAAAACAAAACCCACACUCCAAAAACAAACUAACAAAGAAUAAAUAAAUAAUAUAAAAAUAAAAUAAAUACUGCAGUCCUU
rnacentral:lncRNA from 1 species